rnacentral:rRNA from 2 species
UUAAGUGAUUAAGCGUACACGGUGGAUGCCUAGGCGGUAGAAGGCGAUGAAAGACGUGAUAGCCUGCGAAAAGCUCCGGUGAGGUGGCAAAUAACCUUUGACCCGGAGAUGUCUGAAUGGGAAAACCCAUCCUUUCGAGGAUAUCCCUUAAUGGGAGGCUAACCCGGGGAACUGAAACAUCUAAGUACCCGGAGGAAAAGAAAUCAACCGAGAUUCCCUAAGUAGCGGCGAGCGAACGGGGACCAGCCCUUAAGCAAGGACUAAGUUAGCAGAACGCUCUGGAAAGUGCGACGAUACGAGGUGAUAGUCCUGUAUGCGAAAGCUUUAUUCUUGUGAAAUCGAGUAGGACGGGACACGUGAAAUCCUGUCUGAACAUGGGGGGACCACCCUCCAAGGCUAAAUACUCUCUACCGACCGAUAGUGAACCAGUACCGUGAGGGAAAGGCGAAAAGAACCCCAGGAGGGGAGUGAAAUAGAACCUGAAACCGUGUACGUACAAGCAGUGGGAGCCCCAUCACUAAGCUACUUUAAAAGUAGUCAUGUGAUUAUCUUUACUUGUAAGUGUUAAGUGAGCGAAGCGAGCUAAACCAAAAAAACAAGCAGAGGUAGCUUAGUGAUGGGGUGACUGCGUACCUUUUGUAUAAUGGGUCAGCGACUUACUGUGUGUUGCGAGGUUAACUGAAUAAGGGAGCCGUAGGGAAACCGAGUCUUAAAUGGGCGAUAGUAGCAUGCAGUAGACCCGAAACCGGGCGAUCUAUCCAUGGCCAGGAUGAAGGUUGAGUAACAUCAACUGGAGGUCCGAACCCACUAAUGUUGAAAAAUUAGGGGAUGAGCUGUGGAUCGGAGUGAAAGGCUAAUCAAGCUCGGAGAUAGCUGGUUCUCCCCGAAAACUAUUUAGGUAGUGCCUCAUGUCUCACUGUUGGGGGUAGAGCACUGUUAUGGUCUAGCGGGCCGUCAAGGCUUAGCAGCCCAUUGCAAACUCCGAAUACCAACAAGUGCAAUCAUGGGAGACAGACAGCGGGUGCUAACGUCCGUUGUCAAGAGGGAAACAACCCAGACCGCCAAUUAAGGUCCCUAAACACGGCUCAGUGGGAAAGGAUGUGGGAAGGCUUAGACAGUCAGGAGGUUGGCUUAGAAGCAGCCAUCCUUUAAAGAAAGCGUAAUAGCUCACUGAUCGAGUCGGCCUGCGCCGAAGAUUUAACGGGGCUAAGUCGUGUACCGAAAUUGCGGAUGCCGUAAGGCAUGGUAGGGGAGCGUCGUGUAAGUCUGUGAAGGUGUGCUGUCAGGCAUGCUGGAGAUAUCACGAGUGCGUAUGCUGACAUAAGUAGCGAUAAAGGGCGUGAAAAACGCCCUCGCCGAAAGCCCAAGGUUUCCUACGCAACGCUAAUCGACGUAGGGUUAGUCGGCUCCUAAGGCGAGGCCGAAAGGCGUAGUCGAUGGGAAACAGGUUAAUAUUCCUGUACUUUUUAUAACUGCGAUGGAGGGACGGAGAAGGCUAGGCCAGCAAGGCGAUGGUUGUCCUUGUUUAAGGCGGUAGGCAGAAGGCUUAGGUAAAUCCGGGUCUUUAAUGCCGAGAACUGAUGACGAGUCCAUUAGGACGAAGUGGUUGAUGCCCUGCUUCCAAGAAAAUCUUCUAAGCUUCAGGUUAUAAGAAACCGUACCCCAAACCAACACAGGUGGGCAGGAUGAGAAUUCCAAGGCGCUUGAGAGAACUCGGGUGAAGGAACUAGGCAAAAUAACACCGUAACUUCGGGAGAAGGUGUGCCCUUGAAGGUGAAGGCCUUGCGCUGUAAGCUUUUGAGGGUUGCAGAGACCAGGUGGCUGCGACUGUUUAUUAAAAACACAGCACUGUGCAAAAUCGAAAGAUGACGUAUACGGUGUGACGCCUGCCCGGUGCCGGAAGGUUAAUUGAUGGGGUUAGCUGUAAAGCGAAGCUCUUGAUCGAAGCCCCGGUAAACGGCGGCCGUAACUAUAACGGUCCUAAGGUAGCGAAAUUCCUUGUCGGGUAAGUUCCGACCUGCACGAAUGGCGUAACGAUGGCCACACUGUCUCCACCCGAGACUCAGCGAAAUUGAAAUCGCGGUCAAGAUGCCGUGUACCCGCGGCUAGACGGAAAGACCCCGUGAACCUUUACUAUAGCUUUGCACUGGACUUUGAUACUAUCUGUGUAGGAUAGGUGGGAGGCUUUGAAGCUCGGACGCUAGUUCGGGUGGAGCCAUCCUUGAAAUACCACCCUGAUCGUAUUGAGGUUCUAACCUCGGCCAGUGAAUCCUGGUCAGGGACAGUGUAUGGUGGGUAGUUUGACUGGGGCGGUCUCCUCCUAAAGAGUAACGGAGGAGCGCGAAGGUACCCUCAGCACGGUCGGACAUCGUGCAAUGAGCGCAAGAGUAAAAGGGUGCUUGACUGCGAGACAGACACGUCGAGCAGGUGCGAAAGCAGGUUCUAGUGAUCCGGUGGUUCUGUGUGGAAGGGCCAUCGCUCAACGGAUAAAAGGUACUCCGGGGAUAACAGGCUGAUACCGCCCAAGAGUUCAUAUCGACGGCGGUGUUUGGCACCUCGAUGUCGGCUCAUCACAUCCUGGGGCUGAAGUCGGUCCCAAGGGUAUGGCUGUUCGCCAUUUAAAGUGGUACGCGAGCUGGGUUUAGAACGUCGUGAGACAGUUCGGUCCCUAUCUGCCGUGGGCGUUGGAGAAUUGAGGGGGGCUGCUCCUAGUACGAGAGGACCGGAGUGGACGAACCGCUGGUGUUCCAGUUGUCCUGCCAAGGGCACUGCUGGGUAGCUACGUUCGGGAAAGAUAACCGCUGAAAGCAUCUAAGCGGGAAACUUGCCCCAAGAUGAGUUCUCCCUAGACUUUAAGUCUUCUAAAGAGCCGUUCAAGACCAGGACGUUGAUAGGCAAGGUGUGGAAGCGCAGUAAUGUGUGAAGCUAACUUGUACUAAUUACUCGUGAGGCUUAACUAU